CUGUAGCCUAAUAUUGGGUUUCGAUGUUGCAUGCACAGGAUAGAUGGGACACUGGGAAACAAUCGCUUUGGCGGUUGCGGAGUGGCCGUUGGGAUACCAUCCUUGCGAUAUUGGAAUUCUAACCUGCGGCUCUGAAUCGAGUCGGGGGACAUUGUUAGGUGGGCAGUUUGACUGGGGCGGUCGCCUCCUAAAAAGUAACGGAGGCGUUCAAAGGUUCGCUCAGCUUGAACGGAAAUCAAGCAAAAGAGUGCAAACGCAGAAGCGAGCCUAACUGCGAGACUGACGGGUCGAGCAGUAACGAAAGUUGGAGUUAGUGAUCCGGUGGUAUGUGAGUGGAAAUGCCAUCGCUCAACGGAUAAAAGUUACCCUGGGGAUAACAGGCUGAUCUCCCCCAAGAGUCCACAUCGACGGGGAGGUUUGGCACCUCGAUGUCGGCUCAUCGCAUCCUGGGGCUGUAUUCGGUCCCAAGGGUUUGGCUGUUCGCCAAUUAAAGCGGUACGCGAGCUGGGUUCAGAACGUCGUGAGACAGUUCGGUCCCUAUCUGUCGUGGGCGCAGGAUAUUUGAUGGGAGCUGUCCCUAGUACGAGAGGACCGGGACGGACGUACCUCUGGCGCACCAGUUGUUCCGCCAGGAGCAUAGCUGGGCAACUACGUACGGAUCGGAUAAACGCUGAAAGCAUCUAAGCGUGAAGCCGACCCAAAGAUAAGAUAUCCCACUGAUUUGAUCAGGUAAGACCCCUUGAAGACUACAAGGUCGAUAGGCACGAUGUGUAAGUGGAGCGAUCCAUUCAGCAAGCGUGUACUAAUAGGUCGAGGGCUUGACCAC
rnacentral:rRNA from 1 species